rnacentral:rRNA from 1 species
GACGAACGCUGGCGGCGUGCUUAACACAUGCAAGUCGAACGGAAAGGCCCUGCUUUUGUGGGGUGCUCGAGUGGCGAACGGGGGAGGAACAAGUGAGUAACCUGCCCUUGCAUUUGGGGUAACUUCAGGGAACUGGGGCUAAUACCGGAUAGGAGCUCCUGCUGCAUGGUGGGGGUUGGGGAAUUUCGGGGGUUGGGGAUGGACUCGCGGCGUAUCAGCUUGUUGGUUGGGUAGUGGCUGACGCGGGCUUUGACGGGUAGCCGGCCUGAGAGGGUGAGCGGCCACAUUGGGACUGAGAUGGGGCCCAGACGCCGACGGUAGGGAGCAGUGGGGAAUAGUGUGAUGCGGCGGCGAGGCGGAUGCAGCAACGCCGCUUGCGGGAUGAAGGCCUUCGGGUGGUGAACCGCUUUCUGCUGUGACGGAGCGUGAGUGACGGUGCCGGGUAAAGAAGCACCGGCUAACUACGUG